AACAGGAUUAGAUACCCUGGUAGUCCACGCCGUAAACGAUGUCGACUUGGAGGCUGUUUCCUUGAGAAGUGGCUUCCGGAGCUAACGCGUUAAGUCGACCGCCUGGGGAGUACGGCCGCAAGGUUAAAACUCAAAUGAAUUGACGGGGGCCCGCACAAGCGGUGGAGCAUGUGGUUUAAUUCGAUGCAACGCGAAGAACCUUACCUACUCUUGACAUCCAGAGAACUUUCCAGAGAUGGAUUGGUGCCUUCGGGAACUCUGAGACAGGUGCUGCAUGGCUGUCGUCAGCUCGUGUUGUGAAAUGUUGGGUUAAGUCCCGCAACGAGCGCAACCCUUAUCCUUUGUUGCCAGCGAUUCGGUCGGGAACUCAAAGGAGACUGCCGGUGAUAAACCGGAGGAAGGUGGGGAUGACGUCAAGUCAUCAUGGCCCUUACGAGUAGGGCUACACACGUGCUACAAUGGCGCAUACAAAGAGAAGCGACCUCGCGAGAGCAAGCGGACCUCAUAAAGUGCGUCGUAGUCCGGAUCGGAGUCUGCAACUCGACUCCGUGAAGUCGGAAUCGCUAGUAAUCGUGGAUCAGAAUGCCACGGUGAAUACGUUCCCGGGCCUUGUACACACCGCCCGUCACACCAUGGGAGUGGGUUGCAAAAGAAGUAGGUAGCUUAACCUUCGGGAGGGCGCUUACCACUUUGUGAUUCAUGACUGGGGUGAAGUCGUAACAAGG
rnacentral:rRNA from 1 species